rnacentral:rRNA from 1 species
CGGGACGGGUGAGUAACGCGUGAGGAACCUGCCUCAAAGAGGGGGGAAACAGUUGGAAACGACUGCUAAUACCGCAUAAGCCCACAGCUCGGCAUCGAGCAGAGGGAAAAGGAGCAAUCCGCUUUGAGAUGGCCUCGCGUCCGAUUAGCUAGUUGGUGAGGUAACGGCCCACCAAGGCGACGAUCGGUAGCCGGACUGAGAGGUUGAACGGCCACAUUGGGACUGAGACACGGCCCAG